rnacentral:rRNA from 1 species
UUUGAAAGGCGACAUAUUGGGAUCAAUAUAAGUCAUAUAAAUUAAAUAAAGGAUCGACAAAUUGAGAGCUCUUUCUCAAUUCGUUGAGUGGUGGUACAUGGUCGUUCUUAGUUGGUGGUGUGAUUUGACUGAUUAAUUCCGAUAACGAACUGGACUCUGUACUGCUAAAUAGAGUUAAUGUCAUUUUUUUUUCGUUAACUUGUCUUCACAGAGGGACCGGUGGUGUUUAGCCACACGAGAUUGAACAAUAACAGGUAUUUGCUGCCCUUAGAUGUUCUGGACUGGAUGCAUGCUACACUGAAGGGAGCAGCAUGUUUUUCCUGACCAAGGGGUUCGGGUAACCCGUCGAACCCCCUUCGGUCAGGGAAAA